UCUCUUGAUGAAUGGCACUGGGCUCCGACCACGGCUACAAAACCGCCGGCCUUGAUGGAAACGCCCCAUUGUGGCAGGCCUAGAAAACCUCGCCCACUGAUU
rfam:Fonsecaea multimorphosa CBS 102226 unplaced genomic scaffold supercont1.14, whole genome shotgun sequence.